UGUACCACCUCCUGCUCCCACCCUUUUUUCCAAAGGGGCCCCAGGAGUAGCAAGAGAAUGGCCCAGCUGAAGUGUUUGAUCUGAAGGAGGAUGGGGGGACGCCCAGCCUCUGGCCCUCUACAAGAACUAACCACACAGGCUGGCUUUGCCAGCAGGGCCCUGGCCUCCGCUGGGUGUGCCGUAUCACUUGGACAGCAUCUUCUUGAUCUUGCCGGGCAGGGAGACAUCUGACUGUUGUAGCGGGGGCACCUUCACGCCCUUCUGCUUCAGCUGAUUGUAGAAGUCACUUCUCUCCGAGAUGAUCCUCUGGACAAGAAAGUCAAUGGGUGGCCUCUCAGCUCUCUCGCCACCCACCCCAGGACUUGCUACAAACCCAUGUUAAAACAAUGGCUGAGGGUUGGGGAUUUAGCUCAGUGGUAGCGCGCUUGCCUAGUAAGCGCAAGGCCCUGGCUUCGGUCCUCAGCUCCGGAAAAAAAAACAAAAAAACAAAAAAAAAACAAAAAACAAACAAACAAACAAAAACAAUGGCUGAGAGCUUUGCCUCUGUGGUGUGUGUCCCUGCCCCUUAGGUGCCUGCAGACCAGAAAGCUGUCUGAUCUCAUGCCAUCCAGUCCCUCUCCAGCUCUGUCCUCAUUCCUAACAGAGAGAGCUACUGGACCUCAGCUUCUCGAGCUGUGAACAAAGGUGAAAGGCACCCCACGCUGCUACAGAAUGAGGCCUGGCCCUGCCAUGAGGGAGCCCGUGGGCCAGGAAAGGAUUUCUUGCUUCUGCGUGUCAUAGCUGGAAAUGGAGCUCACCUAAGAGCUAGGAUGCUCUGGAUCAGACCCCAGUUCCUUGGGUGGCCCCGCACCAAAGCACAGAAGCUUGAGCGUACCAACAUGCUUCUUACACACACACACACACACACACACACACACGCACGCACGCACACACACACACACACACACACGCACACAUGUGGAAAUGAGGACUUCUCACAUGCUAAUGAGGGACGCUCUCCACCACCAAGAUAUAUUCCCAGUCCUGUGCACGGCUUUAAAAUGUCAUUGCAGCUGCAGAGGUGGCUCCCCUGUGAUUAAGAGCACUUGCAAAGGACAUGAGUUCUGUUCCCAGCACCUGUAUCUUCAGCUCCAGGAGAGCUGAUGCCCUCUUCUGGCUUCUGAAGGGAUAUACAUACAGACUCGCAUACAUACAAAUAAAAAUAUUAAAAAAAAAAUAAGAGUGGCAAACACACAGAAUACAUUUUUUUUCUUUUCUAUUUUUCGGAUCUGGGGACCAAACCCAGGGCCUUGCACUUGCUAGGCAAGCGCUCUACCACUGAGCUAAAUCCCCAAUCCCCACAGAAUACAUUUUUAAACCUCAGUUUCCAGCAGCCGCUGGAAGCCUCAGCCUCUUUUUUUGUUUGUUGGUUUGUUUUGCUUUCAUUUAUUUUAUAUGUAUGGGAGUUUGGCCUGCUUGUUAUGUCUGUGCACCAAAUGCAUGCAACGUUGCUGUUGAUCUAAGGUCUUUUUUUUGUAAGAUUUACCUAUCUUUAUU